rnacentral:rRNA from 1 species
CCUACGGGUGGCAGCAGUGAGGAAUAUUGGUCAAUGGGCGAGAGCCUGAACCAGCCAAGUCGCGUGAAGGAUGACGGAUCUAUGGUUUGUAAACUUCUUUUAUAUGGGAAUAAAGUGAGGAACGUGUUCCUUUUUGUAUGUACCAUAUGAAUAAGCAUCGGCUAACUCCGUGCCAGCAGCCGCGGUAAUACGGAGGAUGCGAGCGUUAUCCGGAUUUAUUGGGUUUAAAGGGUGCGUAGGUGGUUAGUUAAGUCAGCGGUGAAAGUUUGUGGCUCAACCAUAAAAUUGCCGUUGAUACUGGUUGACUUGAGUAUAUUUGAGGUAGGCGGAAUGCGUGGUGUAGCGGUGAAAUGCAUAGAUAUCACGCAGAACUCCGAUUGCGAAGGCAGCUUACUAAACUAUAACUGACACUGAAGCACGAAAGCGUGGGGAGCAAACAGGAUUAGAUACCCGUGUAGUC